UGGAACUUCUUGAUGGUCUGAUGAUUCUAGAAGCUGAUGCAUGCAGUGAAAUAGUAGCUAGCACGAAGAUUCAACACUGAGGAGUGGUGAUGUGCCUACUGGAGGUCUUGAGAACACUGCUGGUUCCUUCCAGAUGGAAGUGGAGAGUUUUGACAUGAGCUGCAGCAGAGUGGAGAGAAAAACACUGAGAAUCCCAGAAGUUCGCCAGAAAAGCAGAUUUGGUUGAAAAGGCAUUUGUGGUGCUUUGGACAGAAUACGUGAGUUCACACCAGGGGACUUGCACUACAUUCCUGGAUGGUCUGCUGCCUUCUCCAAGUGCCUCAUACACCAGGCUUCUUCUCGUCAUUGGAUGCUGCUGUACAACUGUAUCUUUAGCAACCCUGUACAUCUGUGGAUCAAAUGUAUGAUCAUGAGGCAAAAGAAGAGAUGAAGUCUGUAAGGGAUCUCCUAACUAGAUAUGCCAGGCAUGAAAAGAGAUGAAUCAAAAUAAGAAUAAUUGAAGAUACUCACCCUUUCCCUCAGGGAAAGAAUUAAGAGCAUCACUGCAACUGCUUGGAAACAGCCCAAAAGUCAAGCUGUCAGGAGAAUGGCAAAAGAACAGAAUGCAGAGAAGCAAGAAAAAAAACCCACGUAACUGAAUUGCCAUCUGAACUAAAAACGCUGAAGAAAAUGAAAUGACUAGACCAUUCAAUUUUUCAUUGGCCACAGAAUCCACUGCCCUCUCAUUGUCAGACAGGCACUGUUGUCGCUGUGAGUUCCUUUGGGAUCAAGCCUCUCCUUAGCAUCACCAUUGUCAACGCAUUUGGCUGGCCCACAGUUGGAGGACUUAUGUUUCACUGUAAUUUCUUCCAAAACAUUCAGAA